rnacentral:rRNA from 1 species
AGGACGAACGCUGGCGGCGUGCUUAACACAUGCAAGUCGAACGAGAAUCACUGGAAGGAGUUUCGGACAACGGAAAGUGAGGACAGUGGCGGACGGGUGAGUAACGCGUGAGGAACCUGCCUUUCAGAGGGGGACAACAGUUGGAAACGACUGCUAAUACCGCAUAAUGCACGGAGGUGGCAUCACCACCGUGCCAAAGAUUUAUCGCUGAAAGAUGGCCUCGCGUCUGAUUAGCUGGUUGGUGAGGUAACGGCCCACCAAGGCGACGAUCAGUAGCCGGACUGAGAGGUUGGCCGGCCACAUUGGGACUGAGAUACGGCCCAGACUCCUACGGGAGGCAGCAGUGGGGAAUAUUGGGCAAUGGGCGCAAGCCUGACCCAGCAACGCCGCGUGAAGGAAGAAGGCUUUCGGGUUGUAAACUUCUUUUGGCAGGGAAGAGAAGAAGACGGUACCUGCUGAAUAAGCCACGGCUAACUACGUGCC